rnacentral:rRNA from 1 species
AACAGCCAUUUCCUGCCCAGCUCAAUGGCCUCGCCGUCCUCCAUGCCUGCCCGUAUUCACAUCUUCCUCCUAGCAGUCCUGCUUUCUCCCGUCCCGUUUUCUUCUCCCGGUCCGACCAACGGCAGCGACACCGACCUCGCCGCCCUUCUGGCUUUCAAAGCGCAGCUCGCCGACCGUCUCGGCGUCCUUGCCGCCAACUGGACCACCGGCACGUCCUUCUGCCGCUGGGCCGGUGUCUCGUGCAGCCGGCGCAGGCAACGCGCCACCGCCUUAUCAUUGCCCGACAUGCCUCUCCUUGGGCCACUGGCACCUCAUGUCGGUAACCUCUCUUUUCUCUCCGUCCUUAACCUCAGGAACACCAAUCUCACAGGGCCUAUCCCUUCCGAACUUGGCAGGCUACGUCGUCUCAGAUUCCUCGGUCUUCAUCAAAAGAGCCUGUCAAAUGCCAUACCUGCUGCCCUAGGCAACCUCACGAGGCUCGAGUUUCUCUAUCUUCAUUUGAACCAGUUGUCAGGCCAGAUCCCUCCUCAGAUGAUGCUACGCAUGCGCAACCUUACACAGAUUAAUCUGUACGGGAACGGCUUGAGUGGACAAAUACCUCCGUAUUUGUUCAACAACACGCCUUUGUUGACGUUCGUUAACUUUGGGAACAAUAGCCUCUCAGGUCCUAUACCACACGCCGUUGCAUCACUAUCCAUGCUUGAAUUAUUAAGACUGGAUUUUAAUCAACUCUCUGGCCUGGUGCCACAAGCCAUGUUCAACAUGUCUAGAUUACAGGAAAUUUCCUUAGUAAAUAAUCGUAACCUGACCGGAACAUUUCCGAGCAAUCAAAGUUUCAGCCUCCCAAUGUUACAGGUUGUUUCCAUAUAUGGUAACAAAUUUGCCGGUCGGUUACCAUCAGGGUUUGCAUCAUGCCAAUACCUACAAGUAAUUGAUUUGCACGCAAAUUCUUUUGUGGAUGUUCUGCCGACAUGGUUGGCCAAAUUGACAAACCUCAAAAAACUUAACUUGGGUUUUAAUCACCUUAUUGGCUCGAUCCCAGCGGCCCUUGGUAAUCUUUAUCUUUAUCUUUACCUCUUUAUCUUUAUCUUUAUCUUUACCUCUUUAUCUUUAUCUUUAUCUUUACCUAUAUAUAUAUAUAAAUAUAUAUAUAUAUAUAUAUAUAUAUAUAUACUAAUAAACCAGCUAUUGCUUUUGGUCGUCCGUCGUGGUUGUUUUGCAAAACAGCCCCUCAGUUUAUAGGAAAUCAACCCGCACUCCCUGUUUAAGUGGAUCUGAGAAAACGCUUUGAUUUUACAAAUUAAACCCUACAUGUUUUAGAAUUACGCCCGCACUCCUUUCUUCAUCCUAUCCGGUGGCAGAGAAGGUGGAAGGGGGGCAGCUUCGGCUGGGUUCUCGUCGGCGAGCUCGUCGGUGCGGAAGGUGCCCGCCUCGUUGGACGACGGCCGUCUCGGAAUCCCCCCGCCUUCGGCCCUCUCGGCCUCUCCAGGUGGACGUGAGCGCCAGCGACCGCAUCUCCAACAUCCCGCCCGCGGCCAGGAAUGGGGAAUGGGCCGAGGCGUCGCGACGGAGGCCGAUAAGGCGGCCGGCCUGCACGCCUGGGGCACCGGACCAAGCACGGCAGCAUCGGCGCCGCCGUCGUGGGGCUCUUCAAGAUGUACUGCAAGAUGGCCGCGCUGCUCGGGCGGCACAGCCGCAGCAGGGCCCUCCUCGCGGACCACGCGCCAGCGGUGACGCCCUUCGGGCGCCGCCGCGGACGGCUGAGCCUGGCCAUCCACGAGAACACGCGGGCGCCGCCGGCGUUCCUCAUGGAGCUGCCCAUGCUGGCGGCCGCGCUCGCGUUAUCGCUGGUCUCUUUCUUUCUUGAGCAUCCAUGAGAACGCCCCCACACAGCGCGAGGGGAGCAAGUGGCCGAGAUGCCGAUGUGGGGCGUGCGAGCUCGGCCGCGGAAGCGCUUGUGUAGUGUGUACCGUGCUUUCAGCGUGGUUGCUGCCGACGAUGUGCUCCUCCUCGGGAAAGAGGACGUGGGGAAGCGGAGGCCCCGACGGUGAGGCGACCUCACCUCCCACCCCGACCUCGGGCGGCGCUACUCCCGGACCAGACCCAACCCCAGCGCCACUUGCCAUUGCAGCCUCCUGAUGCGACAUCCAUCGCCUUCUUGAGAUCUGGCGGCCACCUGCACACCAAGUGUUCGGUCAAUCGACCCAACAAACAGGAGGUAAUUCGCCACCUCCUCGUCGAGAUUCUUUGACGGCCACGCGUCGCCGCCUGCCGCCAUGUUGCCAUCCCUGUCGAGCUUCUUUGGUCACGUGUCACGUCGCUAUCUCUUGACACGCCCGCACACCGCUGUCGCCGUCAACAGGUUUUCCGCCCCGCUUUCCCCAGCCAUAUCAUAUCACACUGCGGUUAAUCACUUCCGAUCCUCGUGUAUGUUCGUCACUUUGGUGUUAGCAGCUCAGGAGUUUGUGUAACUGCGUCAAAAUUGGCAGUAACAACCGUGGUGCUCAUCCUGGCCAGAGUUUCAGGUUUCUGCAGAUUUUGCAGUUCAUUGCAAAGCAGAUCAAUGUAGAUCUUCAGAAAAUGUUUAGUUUGAUAUAGUGUUAACUCUCACUUUGCUUUAUGUCAAUCUGAUUCCUGUUUAGGUAGUGUGCGUGAUAAUGUUGCGGGAUGUAUAUGAAUGAGUAUGGACGUGCUUGAUUUUGAUGUGUAAGCACAUGUUUCUGCAAAAAGAAAAAGAAAAACAACUAUUUAAUAGUGUGAUGUCCACAGUGCUGCUACCAACUGUUCUACCUGAAAUUAGUUUCUAGCUUAUUAAGUUGUCUGGUAAUAGCCUAUACAGGUAACCGGGAUUCAUGUAUAAAUUUCUCUGUCUUUAUGACUCACAUAACUACAACUGAAGUAGAACAACUUAGCAAGGAAAGAAAUAGCUAGAUGAGAAAUCGAGUGGUCUCCACGCUGCUUCUGCUGCUGCUACUGGCUGCAGUAUGUGCUUAUUUAAAAAAUAAGCACAUAUAUGAAUUCAUCAGGGUUUGGUGUCUUGGCGUUUCCUGAAAUUUGGUUACCCAGAGCAGGCUGCUGUGGUGAGGUUCUGAAUCCAGAAAGUGAAGAGCAAGCUUGAUGGAUAUAUCUGAAGAUGACAUACAGUAUGGUCUUCCCGUGCUUGUUUUGUUUUAAUUUCAAUAAACAACACAUUCCUGCCAAAUAGGUGUUUAUUUUUAUGCCUAAAAGUAUGUGCUUUCUAGAAUAAGCUCCAUGAUAUAUAAGCAUUGCCUGUGUUGAAUGCUCCUAAAUUAUAGCACACAUUUGCAGGUUCAUAUAUGCAUACUGUACAAUUGUGGUAGAAGCACUUGUUCUUAUUCUUUUGUCUAAUUAGAGUUUUAAAUUAGUAUGGUAGAUGAUUUCUCUAGCUCCAUAUUAGUUACAAAAUAUGAGCUUGCGAAGAGACAAAAUUUCUAGCAUUUGCUUCAAAUCUUAUAUAAUUUUUGAAAUAGAUCCCAAAACUAUUUAAUCAGAUGCUACUUGCACAUUUUUCUGUUUUACUAGAUGACGGUGCUCACAAAUAUCAUGCUACUAUAUUCGGCCUACGAUGGAGUAUCUUCAUGAAGUGCUUUUGAUAUUCCAUUGUGUUUACUAGAUGACGGUAAAUCAUUUUGAACUGUUGUGUUUCCGGUGACACCUAAAUACAUUGGUCGAUCUACACCAUGCUCUGCUCCUAUUGACUGCUGAUCACAAAUCAGAACCCAAUCUUAGAUCUAUUUGAUUUGUUUCGUUUAGUGUUGGAUGGUGCCAAUUAAAGAAAUUGUACUGUCAUUCAUCAAUUUACUAAUCAGUCUGGCCUGAAUUCAUGAGUUAUGUGUGUGAGAGAAUCUGUGCUCGAAUGCGUUGUCACCUGGACUUUAAAUCUUAUCCAAUGGUUUGGUCAUCAUUCCGUUGGUUGUUUGACUGGAGCUCAUAGGAGGAGAUGAAUCUAACUGAAUCUUCUUAGCUUAGAAACAAAAGUCGUUCUCUUGAUGAACAGAGAACAAUUGCUAUUAAUUUGUCAGCCAUUGUGUUCCUUCUUGUAUUGUAAAUAUAGUUUAAAAAUUUCACAAUUUUACAUAUGUUCACACUAUCAUUAAUUCAAAAAAAUAUGUUCACACAUAAAAAAAGCAAAAAAUUCCAAAAAAUGUUCCCUUUUUACUAAAAAAAUAUUUCCACUUAAAAAUGUACAACAAAAACAAGCAAAACAUUAUUUUUUUAAACAUCUCUUCAAACAAUGUUCCUUUUUAGAUAGAUGAUCCAAUUUCUUAAAAAUAAUUUAACUACUCUUUAAAAAGUGUUCCAUUUUUUUUGAAAACAUUAACUUUUAUUAAAAAUAAGAAAAUUUCCAUGUUUAACAUUAUCAUCGACAUUUAUUAAAAUUGGAUAUAAAUAGUGCACAAUGCACAUGAAGCAGGUAUAUUUUUUCGCCCGGUGCAACGCACGGGCAUAUGUACUAGUACUAGUACUAGUACUAUACUAUACUAUACUAGUACUAGUACUAGUACUAAUAAAGCGGCUAUCGCUGGUCGUCCGUCAUUAAAAUUACCCUCUAAGUUGAUAAAAAUUACCCACCAAUGCCACCCAUAAGUGGGAAAAUAAUUCAAUUUUUCGGACCAAAAAUCACCGUCUCCUUCGUUGUCAUAUAGCUGCGCGACGAGAAUAAUUCAUGAAACGAUAAACGGCAGAGUGGUUGGCUGAUCAGCUUUCACAGUAUUUAUCUUUCCUUUCUCACGCAUGUCCCUAUCCAUUUCAUGGGCCCGCCCAUGUGCAGGGCUAACUCUCCUGUUUUAUUUUAGUUUUUUUUAUCUUUUCUUUUCUCAUUUUGUUUUUUUCUUAUUUGUUAUUUAAAUUAUUUCGGGAUUUUAAUAAUCUAAAAGUUGCAAGUUUUCAAAAAAAAUGUUUGAGAAAUCAUAAAAAUAUAUGUGAAUUCAAAACAAAAUUUUGCAGAUUCAAAUGUUUUUUUAUUUUUUAUUUUUAUCUUUUCUUUUCUCAUUUUUUUUUCUUAUUUGUUAUUUAAAUUAUUUCGGGAUUUUAAUAAUCUAAAAUUUGCAAGUUUUCAAAAAAAAUGUUUGAGAAAUCAUAAAAAAUUAUGUGAAUUCAAAACAAAAUUUUGCAGAUUCAAAUGUUUAGAAAACCAUAAAAAUUUUGCAGAUUCAAAAAAUGUUGAUGUUUUUGCAAAACUGUUCA